rnacentral:rRNA from 1 species
CCAAAAAUCUAGCCCACACCAAUACCUCAUUAUUUAAAAUUAACUAAAAUAUUUUAUUAAGUCUAGUAAAGAUGAUUAAAAAACUUAUUGGAGCAAUAACUUAGUACCGCAAGGGAAAGAUGAAAUAAUAAUGAAAUAGCUUUAAGCACUAAAUAGUAGAGAUAGAACCUCGUACCUUUUGCAUCAUGGUUUAACUAGUCUAACCAAGCAAAAAGAAUUACAGUUUGCCUCCCCGAAACUAAGUGAGCUACUUUAGGACAGCUUAAUGAGCAAACCCGUCUCUGUCGCAAAAGAGUGGGAAGAUCUUAAAGUAGAGAUGAUAUGUCUAACGAACUUAGCAAUAGCUGGUUAUUCAGGAAAAGAAUUUUAGUUCAACCUAAAGCUUAUUAAAUUUAUAUUAAUACAUAACCUUAACUUUAGAGCUAAUCAAAUAAGUCACAGCCUAUUUGAAACAGGACACAGCCUCCAACCGUGGGUAAAACAAUUAUUUUUAUUAAAGUAGGCCUAAGAGCAGCCACCUUUAAAAAAGCGUCAAAGCUUAACCCCCCUCCCCCUGAACAAUCCCGUUAAUUUAAUUGAACCCCUUCAUAGUACUGAAUGAUUUCAUACCUUUAUGAAACCCAUUAUGUUAAAACUAGUAACAAGAAGCUUUCUUCUCUCACUAUGUAAAUGUAAAUCAGUACAGAACGUCUUCUGAUAUAUAACAACCAUAAAUAAAAGUAGCACCUUUCUUAUUCAAAAACCCUACUUAAAUAUUUUGUUAACCUCACACAAGAACAUAAAAAGAAAGAUUACAAGAAAAAGAAGGAACUCGGCAAACUUUGAUUUCGCCUGUUUACCAAAAACAUCGCCUCCUGAUAAUAUAUAGGAGGUCCAGCCUGCCCAGUGACCUAGUUUAACGGCCGCGGUAUCCUAACCGUGCGAAGGUAGCGUAAUCACCUGUUUUUUAAUUGAAGACCUGUAUGAAUGGCACCACGAAAAUCACACUGUCUCCUUUUUCCAAUCAGUGAAAUUAAUCUCCCCGUGAAAAAGCGGGGAUAAAAAUACAAGACGAGAAGACCCUUUGGAGCUUAAGACAAUGCAACAAUUUUGUUUUCUCAACCUACCCUGUCCUCUAAAACAUUAAUCUGCUAGUCUUUGGUUGGGGCAACCGCGGAGUAAAAAGAAACCUCCAAGUUGAAUGGAACCUUCCUAAACUAAAAGCCACAUCUUUAAGUAUCAAUAUAUUGACAUUCAUGACCCAAUAUCUUGAUUAUCGAACCAAGUUACCCUAGGGAUAACAGCGCAAUCCACCCCAAGAGUUCAUAUCGACGGGUGGGCUUACGACCUCGAUGUUGGAUCAAGGUAUCCCAGUGGUGCAGCCGCUACUAAAGGUUCGUUUGUUCAACGAUUAAAACCUCACGUGAUCUGAGUUCAGACCGGAGCAAUCCAGGUCAGUUUCUAUCUGUAACAGAGCUCUUUCCAGUACGAAAGGACAGAAAUAGCAGGGCCAAUAUAAUUUACAAGCCCUUCCAAACCACUUAUGAAUUUUACUUAAUGAGUUUAUACCCUUUAAUUUUGCCUAAGAAAAAUGUA